rnacentral:rRNA from 1 species
UACGUAGGCAGCGAGCGUUGUUCGGAGUUACUGGGCGUAAAGGGUGUGUAGGCGGUUCUUUAAGUUUGGUGUGAAAUCUCCCGGCUCAACCGGGAGGGUGCGUCGAAUACUGAGGGACUAGAGUACGGGAGAGGAAAGUGGAAUUCCUGGUGUAGCGGUGAAAUGCGUAGAUAUCAGGAGGAAUACCGAUGGCGAAGGCAGGUCUCUGGGCUGACACUGACGCUCAUGCACGAAAGCGUGGGGAGCAAACAGG